rnacentral:rRNA from 1 species
GGCGGCGUGCCUAAUACAUGCAAGUCGAACGCACUCUCGUUAGAUUGAAGGAGCUUGCUCCUGAUUGAUAAACAUUUGAGUGAGUGGCGGACGGGUGAGUAACACGUGGGUAACCUGCCCUAAGUGGGGAUAACAUUUGGAAACAGAUGCUAAUACCGCAUAAAACCUAACACCGCAUGGUGUAGGGUUGAAAGAUGGUUUCGGCUAUCACUUUAGGAUGGACCCGCGGUGCAUUAGUUAGUUGGUGAGGUAAAGGCUCACCAAGACCGUGAUGCAUAGCCGACCUGAGAGGUAAUCGGCCACACUGGGACUGAGACACGGCCCAGACUCCUACGGGAGGCAGCAGUAGGGAAUCUUCCACAAUGGACGAAAGUCUGAUGGAGCAACGCCGCGUGAGUGAAGAAGGUUUUCGGAUCGUAAAACUCUGUUGUUGGAGAAGAAUGUAUCUGAUAGUAACUGAUCAGGUAGUGACGGUAUCCAACCAGAAAGCCACGGCUAACUACGUG